CCUACGGGAGGCAGCAGUGAGGAAUAUUGGUCAAUGGGAGAGAUCCUGAACCAGCCAAGCCGCGUGAGGGAAGACGGCCCUAUGGGUUGUAAACCUCUUUUGUCGGAGAACAAAACCCGGGACGAGUCCCGGUCUGCGUGUAUCCGAAGAAAAAGCAUCGGCUAACUCCGUGCCAGCAGCCGCGGUAAUACGGGGGAUGUGAGCGUUGUCCGGAUUUAUUGGGUUUAAGGGGUGCGUAGGGGGUCUGUUAAGUCAGCGGGAAAAUUGCGGGGCUCAACCCCGACGAGCCGUUGAAACUGGCAGACGUGAGUUGGCGAGAAGUACGCGGAAUUCGCGGUGUAGCGGUGAAAUGCAUAGAUAUCGCGCAGAACUCCGAUUGCGAAGGCAGCGUACCGGCGCCAGACUGACGCUGAGGCACGAAAGCGUGGGGAUCGAACAGGAUUAGAUACCCCUGUAGUC
rnacentral:rRNA from 1 species